rnacentral:rRNA from 1 species
GCAAGUCGAACGGUAGAGGGGGCAACCCCUCGAGAGUGGCGAACGGGUGAGUAAUAUAUCGGAACGUGCCCAGUCGUGGGGGAUAACGUAGUGAAAAUUACGCUAAUACCGCAUACGAUCUAAGGAUGAAAGCGGGGGACUCGCAAGGGCCUCGCGCGAUUGGAGCGGCCGAUAUCAGAUUAGGUAGUUGGUGAGGUAAAGGCUCACCAAGCCAACGAUCUGUAGCUGGUCUAAGAGGACGACCAGCCACACUGGAACUGAGACACGGUCCAGACUCCUACGGGAGGCAGCAGUGGGGAAUUUUGGACAAUGGACGCAAGUCUGAUCCAGCCAUUCCGCGUGCAGGACGAAGGCCUUCGGGUUGUAAACUGCUUUUGUACAGAACGAAAAGGUCUCUAUUAAUACUAGGGGCUCAUGACGGUACUGUAAGAAUAAGCACCGGCUAACUACGUGCCAGCAGCCGCGGUAAUACGUAGGGUGCAAGCGUUAAUCGGAAUUACUGGGCGUAAAGCGUGCGCAGGCGGUUAUAUAAGACAGAUGUGAAAUCCCCGGGCUCAACCUGGGAACUGCAUUUGUGACUGUAUAGCUGGAGUGCGGCAGAGGGGGAUGGAAUUCCGCGUGUAGCAGUGAAAUGCGUAGAUAUGCGGAGGAACACCGAUGGCGAAGGCAAUCCCCUGGGCCUGCACUGACGCUCAUGCACGAAAGCGUGGGGAGCAAACAGGAUUAGAUACCCUGGUAGUCCACGCCCUAAACGAUGUCAACUGGUUGUUGGGUCUUCACUGACUCAGUAACGAAGCUAACGCGUGAAGUUGACCGCCUGGGGAGUACGGCCGCAAGGU